rnacentral:miRNA from 1 species
UAUUAGAUUGGUGCAAAAGUAAUCGCAGUUUUUGCCAUUACUGUCAAUAGCAAAAACUGCAAUUACUUUUGCACUAACCUA